rnacentral:rRNA from 1 species
AUUGAACGCUGGCGGCAGGCCUAACACAUGCAAGUCGAGCGGAUGAAGGGAGCUUGCUCCUGGAUUCAGCGGCGGACGGGUGAGUAAUGCCUAGGAAUCUGCCUGGUAGUGGGGGAUAACGUCCGGAAACGGGCGCUAAUACCGCAUACGUCCUGAGGGAGAAAGUGGGGGAUCUUCGGACCUCACGCUAUCAGAUGAGCCUAGGUCGGAUUAGCUAGUUGGUGGGGUAAAGGCCUACCAAGGCGACGAUCCGUAACUGGUCUGAGAGGAUGAUCAGUCACACUGGAACUGAGACACGGUCCAGACUCCUACGGGAGGAAGCAGUGGGGAAUAUUGGACAAUGGGCGAAAGCCUGAUCCAGCCAUGCCGCGUGUGUGAAGAAGGUCUUCGGAUUGUAAAGCACUUUAAGUUGGGAGGAAGGGCAGUAAGUUAAUACCUUGCUGUUUUGACGGUACCAACAGAAUAAGCACCGGCUAACUUCGUG